rnacentral:rRNA from 1 species
UGGGGAAUAUUGCACAAUGGGCGCAAGCCUGAUGCAGCCAUGCCGCGUGUAUGAAGAAGGCCUUCGGGUUGUAAAGUACUUUCAGCGGGGAGGAAGGGAGUAAAGUUAAUACCUUUGCUCAUUGACGUUACCCGCAGAAGAAGCACCGGCUAACUCCGUGCCAGCAGCCGCGGGAAUACGGAGGGUGCAAGCGUUAAUCGGAAUUACUGGGCGUAAAGCGCACGCAGGCGGUUUGUUAAGACAGAUGUGAAAUCCCCGGGCUCCACCUGGGAUCUGCAUCUGAUACUGGCGAGCUUGAGUCUCGUAGAGGGGGGUAGAUUUCCAGGUGUAGCGGUGAAAUGCGUAGAGAUCUGGAGGAAUACCGGUGGCGAAGGCGGCCCCCUGGACGGAGACUGACGCUCAGGUGCGAAAGCGUGGGGAGCAAACAGG